AGUGAACGCUGGCGGUAGGCCUAACACAUGCAAGUCGAACGGCAGCACAGUAAGAGCUUGCUCUUACGGGUGGCGAGUGGCGGACGGGUGAGGAAUACAUCGGAAUCUACUUUUUCGUGGGGGAUAACGUAGGGAAACUUACGCUAAUACCGCAUACGACCUACGGGUGAAAGCAGGGGAUCUUCGGACCUUGCGCGAUUGAAUGAGCCGAUGUCGGAUUAGCUAGUUGGCGGGGUCAAGGCCCACCAAGGCGACGAUCCGUAGCUGGUCUGAGAGGAUGAUCUGCCACACUGGAACUGAGAUACGGUCCAAGCUCAUAGGGGAGCCAGCAGUGGGGAAUAUUGGCCAAUGGGCGAAAGCCUGAUCCAGCAAUACCGCGUAGGUGGAGAAGGCCUUCGGGUUGUGAAGCCCUUUUGUUGGGAAAGAACAGCAGCAGGUUAAAACCCCGCUGUUCUGACGGUACCCAAAGAAUAAGCACCGGCUAACUUCGUG
rnacentral:rRNA from 1 species